GAAAUGUGAUAAGUAGUGUGAAUUGCAGAAUUCAGUGAAUCAUCGAAUCUUUGAACGCACAUUGCGCCCCUCGGUAUUCCGUGGGGCAUGCCUGUUCGAGCGUCAUCUACACCCUCAAGCUCUGCUUGGUGUUGGGCGUCUGUCCCGCCUCCGCGCGCGGACUCGCCCCAAAUGCAUUGGCAGCGGUUCCUUGCCCCCCUCUUUGCGCAGCACAUUGCCAUUCGAGGCGGCGGCGGCCCGCGUCCAACAAGCUCAACCCCCCCGUCUUUGACCUCGGAUCAGGUAGGGAUACCCGCUGAACUUAAGC
rnacentral:misc_RNA from 1 species